rnacentral:rRNA from 1 species
AGCUUCAGUAGCGUAUAUUAAAGUUGUUGCAGUUAAAAAGCUCGUAGUCGCAUUUCUGGCGAGAGGAUCCGGUCCGACCUUUUGGUGGGUUCUUGGGUCUCUUUCGCCAUCCUUGAGUGGUCCGUUCUGGCAUUAGUUUGUCGGAGCGUCAGCCGCUCAUCGUUUACUGUGAGAAAAUUAGAGUGUUCAAAGCAGGCUUAUGCCGUUGAAUAUAUUAGCAUGGAAUAAUAAGAUAGGACCUAGGUACUAUUUUGUUGGUUUGCGCACCAAGGUAAUGAUGAACAGGGACAGUUGGGGGUAUUUGUAUUUCGUUGUCAGAGGUGAAAUUCUUAGAUUUACGAAAGACAAACUACUGCGAAAGCAUUUACCAAGGAUGUUUUCA